rnacentral:rRNA from 1 species
UACGAAGGGUGCUAGCGUUGUUCGGAAUGACUGGGCGUAAAGGGCGCGUAGGCGGUUCGUACAGUCAGGCGUGAAAUUCCCGGGCUUAACCUGGGGGCUGCGUUUGAUACGUGCGGGCUUGAGUUCGGAAGAGGGUCGUGGAAUUCCCAGUGUAGAGGUGAAAUUCGUAGAUAUUGGGAAGAACACCGGUGGCGAAGGCGGCGACCUGGUCCGAUACUGACGCUGAGGCGCGAAAGCGUGGGGAGCAAACAGG